AUUGAACGCUGGCGGUAGGCCUAACACACGCAAGUCGAACGCGAAAGUCCUUCGGGAUGAGUAGAGUGGCGGACGGGUGAGUAACGCGUAGGAAUCUAUCCUGUAGUGGGGGAGUAACGUUUCGAAAGGAACGCUAAUACCGCAUACGCCCCACGGGGGAAAGCGGGGGAGUCUUCGGACCUCGUGCUAUAGGAGGAGCCUGCGUCGGAUUAGCUAGUUGGUGAGGUAAAGGCUCACCAAGGCGACGAUCCGUAGCUGGUCUGAGAGGAUGAUCAGCCACACCGGAACUGAGACACGGUCCGGACUCCUACGGGAGGCAGCAGUGGGGAAUAUUGCGCAAUGGGCGAAAGCCUGACGCAGCCAUACCGCGUGUGUGAAGAAGGCCUCGGUUGU
rnacentral:rRNA from 1 species